AGAGCUGGAGUAACUCAGCGGGUCAGACAGCAUCUCUGUGGAGAACGUGGACAGGUACAAAGAGCUGGAGUAACUCAGCGGGUCAGUCAGGCAGCAUCUCUGUGGAGAACGUGGACAGGUACAAAGAGCUGGAGUAACUCAGCGGGUCAGACAGCAUCUCUGUGGAGAACGUGGACAGGUACAAAGAGCUGGAGUAACUCAGCGGGUCAGACAUGCAGGAUCUCUGUGGAGAACGUGGACAGAAAAAUAACAGACGCAAGAAAAGAAGAAAAAAGACGAGAUUAAGGAAAGUAGUGAUGUGUAGGCCCCGAAAGUUAACAAUUAGUAGUUUGUGGAUAGAUAGAGAGAAAGAGCCCAUAGAGAUGUGGAAGAAAAGAGAAGACCAGGAAGGAAGAGCAACAAAAAUAAAUUUAAAAAAGGGGGAAGAGAAGAAGAGAAGAAAAAACAGAACAGAAAAGAAAAGGAAUAUUAUCUACUUUAUAUCUUUCCACACCCCUCACCCAGUUCUGAAACGGUUAAUUACCAGAGUUAUGUUGCACCGUAUUAUACUUGUAAUAAAUCGAUGAAAGGAGACCAUAUCUUUAAGAAUUGUUCUGAUUUUCCUGCUAGGACGAAUCUCAUAUCUUCAAGAUGUAACAUUUUCUUGCAAUGUGACAAAUAAACCCGUAUUGUAUUGUA